AAGCGGCAACAGCUCAAAUUUGAAAUCUGGCUUCGGCCCGAGUUGUAAUUUGUAGAGGAUGCUUUUGGUGAGGUGCCUUCUGAGUUCCCUGGAACGGGACGCCAGAGAGGGUGAGAGCCCCGUAUAGUCGGCCACCGAUCCUCUGUAAAGCUCCUUCGACGAGUCGAGUAGUUUGGGAAUGCUGCUCAAAAUGGGAGGUAUAUCUCUUCUAAAGCUAAAUAUUGGCCAGAGACCGAUAGCGCACAAGUAGAGUGAUCGAAAGAUGAAAAGCACUUUGAAAAGAGGGUUAAAUAGCACGUGAAAUUGUUGAAAGGGAAGCGCUUGUGACCAGACUUGUGCCGGGCUGAUCAUCCAGUGUUCUCACUGGUGCACUCGACCCGGCUCAGGCCAGCGUCGGUUCUCGCGGGGGGAUAAAAGCUUCGGGAACGUGGCACCUCCGGGUGUGUUAUAGCCCGUUGCUUAAUACC
rnacentral:rRNA from 1 species